AGCCCAGUGAAGGCACCUAGGAGUAGGGCCUGCUUACCCUGGAGGAGUCGGGAGCAGCUUCCAGAGCAAGGAGGCUUCUAAGAAAUGAUCUCCAGUGCCCAGGCUCUGAUGCCCAACAGACCUGAACUUACAUCCCAACCUGAACAAGCGGCUUUUGCUCUCCAGGCCUUCAUUGCCCCACAGUGGGAACAAUAAUAAUAUGCACCUUCUAGGUACCCAAAAGCACAAGAGACAGUGAAUGGAAAGUGCUUGGAAGCCCCGUGCCCAGGUAGUGCUGGCCCCAGCUGAACUGCGGGGAUAGAUGUUGAGUGUCCAGGUUCUAGCAUCAUGGAACAGAAUCCGGCCUGUUGGGAAAUCCUGCCUACAAGUAUACCUCCAUUAAUUAGUGUCUUCUGUGAACAUUUUUAUUAAAAAAAGAAGAAAAGCUCAACC
rnacentral:lncRNA from 1 species